AAAACUCAGAGAAGGAAGCAUGAAACUAGCAAUAUCUCUCGUUUUUUAAAAAAAAAAAACCUGAAAACUAAAAUAAAUUAAAAUGUGUUAAUGUAAGAGUACUCUCUUAUACAGUGCACAUAUGAAUUUAAAUAAAUCCAAGUCAACAUCUUUCGUUGGAUAGGUUAAUAUUUAAUAUGCUACAUCUAGACCUACUAAAUAAUUUAUGCCAUGAGAUGAAUACAUAAUUUUACAGUGUCACAUCUAAAGUUCCUUUCUUUAGAGUGCAGCAUAGUAAAACUUAAAAAUAAAUAUCUUAAAUAGCAUUACUAUUAAGGCACAGUAUAAACCACGUUAUCGUUAACCUUUGCAGAACUGUCAUCUCGGUCACCUUGUUGUCUCGUGUCCUGUGUUCACUAAUAAAUAGUCUUAAAUAGGACUCUGAAAUAGAUACUAAAAAGUGUAAAAUUAUUUUAAAAGGGGGGAGGAAGGGGGGAAGUAAAUGUCCUUAAGACAGUUCUUAAGGGUUUAGCGUCUGCAAACUUUGCCUGCCUUUCAUUGUUAAGCCACGAGUCAACACAAUAAAUAAAGAGAAGGCUGUUGUAGUAAAAGCCUGAUCCUAUUUCAGAAUCAGAACUGCUGACACCAGCAGAUACAAGUUUCCCAAAAUUGAAACAGGAUGGGGAGAGGGAUUAGAAUGUGACAAGCUCAUCAAACAAGCACAAGUGAUGUGUUCUUUCCAGAACUGUGUGUGUUAUUGAUUGUCUGUACAGCUGCUGCACCCAUUAAUUCCACAUCACUUGUCCCACAGUCCCGCUCAUCCACAGGAUAGAUGAGAAAAUCGCUUUGGUGCCUGUCCACCAUUUCACCCACUGCCACGCUCCCAGGUUGAUUGUUCGAUGCCCUUUUUUUUUUUUUUUUUUUUUGAGAGAGAGUAAGAACGUUCUCUUCUUACCUGAAAAAGUUCUAGAAGCCAUAGUGACUGCUAAACAUGACAAUCAGUAAGCUCUCACCACUGUGUGUGUGUGUAUGUUUUUUUGUUUCUAAAAAAAUCUUUUUAAGGUAAUUCAAGCUACAUAUUGCUCACUCUGUAUCCCCUGGUUCGACUAGCUUCAAACAGCAUUUCCUAACUUGUAAAAGGCAGUUUGCUUCCCUGAUACUAUAAAAAGAGCACAAAUAAAAACCCCA
rnacentral:lncRNA from 1 species